GAUGAACGCUAGCGGCAGGCUUAAUACAUGCAAGUCGAGGGGCAGCAUGAUUGUAGCAAUACAAUUGAUGGCGACCGGCAAACGGGUGCGGAACACGUACACAACCUUCCAACAAGUGGGGGAUAGCCCAGAGAAAUUUGGAUUAAUACCCCGUAACAUAGCGAUGUGGCAUCACAUUGCUAUUAUAGAUUUUUCGCUUGUUGAGGGGUGCGCGGCUGAUUAGAUAGUUGGCGGGGUAACGGCCCACCAAGUCUACGAUCAGUAGCUGAUGUGAGAGCAUGAUCAGCCACACGGGAAAUGGGACACGGGCCCGACUCCUACGGGAGGCAGCAGUAAGGAAUAUUGGACAAUGGACGCAAGUCUGAUCCAGCCAUGCCGCGUGAAGGAUUAAGGUCCUCUGGAUUGUAAACUUCUUUUAUAAGGGACGAAAAAAGGCUUUUCUAAGUCGUCUGACGGUACCUUAUGAAUAAGCACCGGCUAACUCCGUGCCAGCAGCCGCCGUAAAAC
rnacentral:rRNA from 1 species